rnacentral:rRNA from 2 species
UGCUUGCACUGAUUUCAACAAUGAAGCGAGUGGCGAACUGGUGAGUAACACGUGGGAAAUCUGCCCAGAAGCAGGGGAUAACACUUGGAAACAGGUGCUAAUACCGUAUAACAACAAAAUCCGCAUGGAUUUUGUUUGAAAGGUGGCUUCGGCUAUCACUUCUGGAUGAUCCCGCGGCGUAUUAGUUAGUUGGUGAGGUAAAGGCCCACCAAGACGAUGAUACGUAGCCGACCUGAGAGGGUAAUCGGCCACAUUGGGACUGAGACACGGCCCAAACUCCUACGGGAGGCAGCAGUAGGGAAUCUUCCACAAUGGACGAAAGUCUGAUGGAGCAAUGCCGCGUGAGUGAAGAAGGGUUUCGGCUCGUAAAACUCUGUUGUUAAAGAAGAACACCUUUGAGAGUAACUGUUCAAGGGUUGACGGUAUUUAACCAGAAAGCCACGGCUAACUACGUGCCAGCAGCCGCGGUAAUACGUAGGUGGCAAGCGUUGUCCGGAUUUAUUGGGCGUAAAGCGAGCGCAGGCGGUUUUUUAAGUCUGAUGUGAAAGCCUUCGGCUUAACCGGAGAAGUGCAUCGGAAACUGGGAGACUUGAGUGCAGAAGAGGACAGUGGAACUCCAUGUGUAGCGGUGGAAUGCGUAGAUAUAUGGAAGAACACCAGUGGCGAAGGCGGCUGUCUAGUCUGUAACUGACGCUGAGGCUCGAAAGCAUGGGUAGCGAACAGGAUUAGAUACCCUGGUAGUCCAUGCCGUAAACGAUGAGUGCUAAGUGUUGGAGGGUUUCCGCCCUUCAGUGCUGCAGCUAACGCAUUAAGCACUCCGCCUGGGGAGUACGACCGCAAGGUUGAAACUCAAAGGAAUUGACGGGGGCCCGCACAAGCGGUGGAGCAUGGUGGUUUAAUUCGAAGCUACGCGAAGAACCUUACCAGGUCUUGACAUCUUCUGCCAUCUUAGAGAUAAGACGUUCCCUUCGGGGACAAAAUGACAGGUGGGUGCAUGGUUGUCCUCAGCUCUUGUCGUGAGAAGUUUGGGGUUAAAUCCCCCCAACGAGCGCAACCCUUAUUAUCAAUUGCCACCAUUCAGUUGGGCACUCUGUGGAGACUGCCGUGAAAACCGAGGAGAAGGGGGGGGGGGGGGUCAAAAUAUUUUGCCCCCUUUUAACUGGGGGUAACACCGGUUCAAUGGAAGGGCACCAAAAUUCG